rnacentral:sRNA from 1 species
CGAGCUAUGGUAUGCUAGAUAAGCAAGAAGUCUUAAAGGUGGUGGCUGUCUUUCGCCGAUGAGGUGAUGUCUAGGGGAACAUGGAGAAAUCUUCAGGAAGGUUUCACAGUCCAUGAGUGUCUUUCAGGCACUGUCGCUGAUGAUUGCGUUCAGCUUAUUAGUCGCAACCAUUCUCAACGGCAA